CAAUAUUUGAAACAUACAUUUUUUUUUCAUUGUUCAUUUGGGAUUCAAAUUUAACUGGAUGUCCUAUAUUUUAUCUGGCAACACUAACUAGUUAACAGUCAAGGAUCCUAUUACUAAUCGAGGGUGAAGGGGCACAGGGAGGAAGGGUGACCACUGAAGGACAAUCAGAAGUCUCUGCCACAAAGUGAGACCCCUCAAAGUGGGUGGCAAUAAAUGUUGGUCCUCUCUUCCCUUUCCCUGUAAGGCAAGGCAAAACCAGAGGGUGGCUGCAGGGAUAACUGCUGGUAGAGCCAACAUCUGUUUUUGAAAUAGAACCAAUGUUCUAUUUUAAUGGCUAGUUUAAUCACAUGAGAUGCAUGUACUUGGUUAAGACCUCAGAGAUCUCUGCUGUAUGCAUGAAAGAGACAACUGUGGCCUGAAAAGCAACAUUAAUAAAAGCACUGCUUCUUUUUAAUCACAAAAA
rnacentral:lncRNA from 10 species